AAGGAAUUUUACAGACUAUUAUAAGAAAAAAGAGUCUCCUAAAUGAAAAGGUAGAUAGAACAGGUCUUGUCAGCGAAAUAAAUUCAAGACUUACAUAUCUACCAACAGCA